rnacentral:SRP_RNA from 1 species
GCCGGGCGUGGUGGCGGGUGCCUGUAAUCCCAGCUACUCGGGAGGCUGAGGCAGGAGAAUCGCUUGAACCCAGGAGGCGGAGGUUGCAGUGAGCCAAGAUCGUACCACUGCACUCCAGCCUGGGUAACAAAGCGAGACUCUGUCUAAA